AUUGAACGCUGGCGGCAGGCUUAACACAUGCAAGUCGAGCGGAGCGAGGGUGCUUGCACCUUAGCUUAGCGGCGGACGGGUGAGUAAUGCUUAGGAAUCUGCCUAUUAGUGGGGGACAACAUUCCGAAAGGAAUGCUAAUACCGCAUACGCCCUACGGGGGAAAGCAGGGGAUCUUCGGACCUUGCGCUAAUAGAUGAGCCUAAGUCGGAUUGGCUAGUUGGUGGGGUAAAGGCCUACCAAGGGGACGAUCUGUAGCGGGUCUGAGAGGAUGUUCCGCAACACUGGGACGGAAACACGGCCCAGACGCCUGCGGGAGGCAGUAGUGGGGAAUAUUGGGCAAGGUGCGGAAGCCGGAUCCAGCCAUGCCGCGUGUGCGAAGAAGGCCUUUUGGUUGUAAAGCACUUUAAGCGAGGAGGGGGGUACUUAGAUGAAUACUCUGGGAUAGUGGACGUUACUCGCAGAAUAAGCACCGGCUAACUCUGUGCCAGCCGCCGCCGUAAGAC
rnacentral:rRNA from 1 species